AUUUACAUGGUCAUCCUGACCACAAAAACCCUUGUGCCAGUUUCGUUGAGGAGUCUAUCUUCCGAUCAGUGGCGGCAAUCAUGUCUUCAGCGAAGGAUGCCGAUCCCUCCCUUGGUUAUCUGGCCCGGAAAGAUACCGAGGUGAAGCUGCCUCGGCCAACGCGGGUGAAAAACAAAACACCGGCCCCCAUUCAGAUUACCGCGGAGCAGAUACUGCGCGAGGCACGGGAACGUCAGGAAGCUGAAAUCCGGCCUCCCAAGCAGAAGAUCACUGACUCAACUGAACUCGCUGAGUAUCGGCUUCGCAAAAGAAAGGAGUUUGAAGACCUAAUCAGACGGAUUCGAUGGAAUAUUAGUGUAUGGAUUAAAUACGCACAGUGGGAGGAAUCACAGAAAGACUUCAAUAGAGCUCGUUCUGUUUGGGAACGUGCACUCGAGGUUGAUUACCGGAAUCACACGCUAUGGCUCAAAUACGCAGAGGUGGAGAUGAAGAACAAGUUCAUAAAUCAUGCCAGGAAUGUAUGGGACCGUGCUGUCACGCUUUUGCCUCGUGUGGAUCAGCUCUGGUACAAGUACAUUCACAUGGAGGAGAUGCUUGGAAAUGUGGCCGGGGCUAGACAGAUUUUUGAAAGAUGGAUGAAUUGGAUGCCUGACCAACAAGGAUGGCUUUCUUAUAUCAAAUUUGAGCUGAGGUAUAAUGAAAUUGAACGUGCAAGAGGGAUUUUUGAACGUUUUGUUCAGUUUCAUCCCAAGGUCAGUGCAUGGAUUCGGUAUGCUAAGUUUGAGAUGAAGAAUGGUGAAGUUGCGAGGGCUAGGAAUGUGUAUGAAAGGGCGGUUGAGAAAUUGGCUGAUGAUGAGGAGGCGGAGCAGUUGUUUGUGGCUUUUGCUGAGUUUGAGGAGCGGUGCAAGGAGUCAGAGCGUGCUCGGUGUAUUUAUAAGUUUGCAUUGGACCAUAUACCGAAAGGAAGGGCGGAGGAUCUAUAUAGGAAGUUUGUUGCGUUUGAGAAGCAGUAUGGGGACAAGGAAGGAAUUGAAGAUGCAAUAGUGGGAAAGAGAAGGUUUCAGUACGAGGAUGAAGUGAGGAAGAACCCAUUGAAUUAUGAUAUGUGGUUUGAUUAUAUUAGGUUGGAGGAGAGCGUGGGGAAUAAGGAGAGGAUUAGGGAGGUUUAUGAGCGUGCAAUUGCAAAUGUGCCACCAGCCGAGGAAAAGAGAUACUGGCAAAGAUACAUAUACUUAUGGAUAAAUUAUGCUCUCUACGAAGAACUUGAUGCAGAAGAUAUUGAGAGAACACGGGAUGUCUACAGGGAAUGCCUGAACCUAAUUCCUCAUAAGAAGUUUUCAUUUGCAAAGAUAUGGCUUUUAGCUGCACAAUUUGAAAUUCGACGGUUGAAUCUCACGGGUGCUCGACAAAUUUUAGGCAAUGCCAUUGGCAAAGCUCCCAAAGAUAAGAUUUUUAAGAAAUAUAUUGAGAUAGAGCUGCAACUUGGUAAUAUUGAUCGCUGUCGAAAGCUUUAUGAGAAAUAUUUAGAGUGGUCACCUGAAAAUUGUUAUGCUUGGAGCAAAUAUGCGGAACUGGAGAGAUCUCUGUCUGAAACUGAACGGGCACGAUCAAUUUUCGAGCUUGCAAUAGCACAGGCAGCCUUGGACAUGCCAGAGUUGUUGUGGAAGGCAUAUAUUGAUUUUGAAAUAUCCGAAGGUGAAUAUGACAGAACAAGACAGCUUUAUGAGAGACUAUUGGACCGAACAAAGCAUUUAAAGGUUUGGAUUAGUUAUGCUAAAUUUGAGGCAGCUGCCAUGGAAGAGAUUGUUGAGGGUGCAGAUUCAGUGGAAGAACAGAAGAAAAAGUGUAUUCAGAAUGCAAGAAGGGUCUUUGAGAAAGCCAUUAACUACUUCAGAACAUCAGCACCUGAAUUGAAGGAGGAACGAGCUAUGCUUCUGGAAGAAUGGUUGAACAUGGAGAGUAGUUUUGGUGAGUUAGGUGAUGUUGGCUUAGUCCAGCCUAAGCUGCCUAAGAAGCUCAAAAAGAGGAGGCCGAUUGCUUCAGAAGAUGGUCUGGCUGGGUAUGUUAUGGUUCUGGUUUUAUCACAAUGACCUGAAAACUGUAAACAUUAGUUUUAUUAUUCUGCUACGUGAUGCUAAACCUAGUAGCGUUUUAAUUCUUAAUUUAUGGUCUAGUGGGUUUAAGGUAUUGUUUACAUAUGGGUAGGGAACCAUAAUAGAUUUUGAAUGGGUUCAACUAUUAGUUUUAUGCCUAAUUGAUGCAGUUCAACAUGCAUAUUUGAGAUCUGAUUCUAUUUUGCUUGCAUGUUCCACGAGACAUUUUCAUUGAAGAGGUGCUCAGUUUUAUGAGCUUCUUCUUUGUUAUCCUUGAUAGCAUUUGUCUAAGUUAGUUUACUUGCAGGACGGAGGAAUUUAUGGAUUACAUAUUCCCAGAAGAAACUCAGGCCCCAAAUCUAAAGAUCUUGGAAGCAGCAUAUCGCUGGAAAAAGCAGAAGAUUUCUACCGAGGAUUAAUGACACGCUGUCCUUUUGUAGCAUGUUUAUUAACAACUGUGUAUAUAUAGUGAGCGGUACUUUUUUGUAUUACAUUGACAAAAACAAUAGCUUGUCUGCACAUGCAUUCUUCUCAGAAAUGAGAUCCCACUAUAUUAGGGAGUCUUUGUUGUAUGGAGUAGGAAGAAAAAAGAAGGGAAAAUUCUAACUGGUUGUUGGAGGAAUGUGUUUUGGAGCUCAGUCGAUUCCCCAGAUGUAUUAUCAAUGUUGGAUCAGACAAUCUGAAGCAUGUGAGUUUUGAGUUUAACUUGUACCAUACUUUCUAGAAUUUCAUAAUGGAUUUUAGAUUUCCUUAACGGGAACAGACUUACUAUGUAUAUAAUAAUAAUUAAAAUAUAAGCGGAAAAUUA
rnacentral:misc_RNA from 1 species